rnacentral:misc_RNA from 1 species
GUGAAUCAUCAAAUUUUUGAACGCAAAUUGCACUCUCCUCGAAGAGUAUGCCUGUUUGAGGGUCAGCCUAUAUAAAAUCGACAUCGUUGCUGUUUCUCGGUGACGUUCGUCGGAAAUUGGGUCAUCUUAAAUCCUUUUGGUUUUAAGCGACUUAAAGAUUUCUUUUGGUUCCAUGUACGUUUCUAUGAUUUAUUUCUUUACACGUUUAAGGUAUCGAUUUUUAUUAGACGUGACCAUCAUAUCGGAUCGCGUCCAUAAUCUUUCAUUAAAUGACCUCAGACUGGUAAGAA